CCUACGGGUGGCAGCAGUGAGGAAUAUUGGUCAAUGGGCUUACGCCUGAACCAGCCAAGUCGCGUGAGGGAAGACUGCCCUAUGGGUUGUAAACCUCUUUUGUCAGGGAGCAACGCCGGCUACGUGUAGCCGGACUGAGAGUACCUGAAGAAAAAGCAUCGGCUAACUCCGUGCCAGCAGCCGCGGUAAUACGUAGGGGGCGAGCGUUAUCCGGAUUCAUUGGGCGUAAAGCGCGCGUAGGCGGCCGCCUAAGCGGAACCUCUAACCCCGGGGCUCAACCUCGGGCCGGGUUCCGGACUGGGCGGCUCGAGUGCGGUAGAGGAGAGCGGAAUUCCCGGUGUAGCGGUGGAAUGCGCAGAUAUCGGGAAGAACACCGAUGGCGAAGGCAGCUCUCUGGGCCGUCACUGACGCUGAGGCGCGAAAGCUGGGGGAGCGAACAGGAUUAGAUACCCGGGUAGUC
rnacentral:rRNA from 1 species